AAGGACAGCAGUUUGCCCACCGUGGCCCCAGCUCGGGUCUGCCAUUCCUCCAGCAGCUUCCGGGUGGGAUUCUCUCUCUUCUCGUAGUUUUUAAUCUCCAGGGUCACGGGGAACUAUCCCAGGGAGCAUCGGGCACAAGGCGGGGUACACCCUGGACAGGUUGCCAGUCCAUCGCAGGGCACAAUCACAUACACACUCACACACCCAUUCAUACACUACGGACACUUUAGACACGCCAAUCAGCCUACCAUGCAUGUCUUUGGACUGGGGGAGGAAACCAGAGUACCCGGAGGAAACCCCUGCAGCACGGGGAGAACAUGCAAACUCCACACACACAUGGCCCUGGCGGGACUCAGAAAUGAACAUCAUCUGCGUCAGUCAGUUAGGCGGCACACCAGGAACUUGACAGGCGAGAUUCCCGGAUGAAUGAACAGCCUCUGAUUUGGCCACACCCGCGCUGAUCCAUGGGAUAUGUAGUUGUUUUUUGUUUGUUUGUUUUUAGUUAAAGGACUACAAACAAAAAAUUAGAUUUCUCCGUCUUGUGCCAGUUUACUUUCUGUAGGCCUCAUUCUUCUCUCUUGAAAAUGCAAGCUUUCUUUUUUUCAUUUCUGGCCCCUUACAAUACUUAAAACUUAGACGCCUUGUGUAGUCAACUCCAUUUCGCCCCUGGUUGUGACCUUCUUGCUUACAUUUUCAAAAAGUAUCAAAAUCUGGUAUAUUCCAUCCAUCCCUCCACCCAUCCAUUUUCCAUACCGCUUAUCCUACACAGGGAGCCUGGAGCCUAUCCCAGGGAUCUUGGGGUACAUGGCUGAGGACACCCUGGACGGAGUGCCAACCCAUCACAGGGCACAAUCGCAUAUCCAUUCACACACUACGGACAAUUUGGAAAUGCCAAUCAACCUACAUGCAUGUCUUUAGAAUGUGUGAGGAAACUGGAGUACCCAGAGGAAACCACAGAAGCAUGGGGAGAACAUGCAAACUUCAUGCACACAAGACGGAGGUUGGAAUCAAACCACUAAGCCACCGUGCAUCCAUCCCCCCCCCCCCUCCCCCCUCAGUAUAUUCAUAAAGUCUAAAUAUAAUUUUACAUUGAACUGAUUCAUCUUGGAAAGUUACUGUUCAUGAAAUGAAUCUGUUUACACUUAUUUUUUACCAAAACUGAAGAAUUUUCCUGAAUGAUGAAGCACAAAAUGGCGUAUUUUUCAUCACAGCCCUUUAGGUUCUGCCUAUAAACACGUACUGUUCUACUCGACUCAUAAAGAAGCCCUUUAUAAAAUACACUGUUAUUUAACAAGUCAAGUGAAAUAUAGCCCUGAGGUCUAACCUCCAUUCAAAAAAAAAAAACCCAGAAGCAUUUAUUCUUUUAAAUAAAUAUAAAUUCUCUUAUUUUACAUCACAUCCAAUACAGGAAUAGAUUAAGCAUUAACAUGCUUCUUCUCUUCUCUUUUCUUGUAAAUACAGACCAGAAAUAGGCUGCCACAACUUCUCACUUCUCUAAACCUGCCUGCAGAGAGACAGAGACAGAGACAGAGAGAGAGACAGACAGAGAGAGAGAGAGAGGGACAGAAAGAGAGACAGACAGACAGAAAGAGAGAGACAGACAGACAGAAAGAGAGAGACAGACAGACAGACAGAGAGACAGAGAGAGAGACAGACAGAGAGAGAGAGAGGGACAGAAAGAGAGACAGACAGACAGAGAGAGACAGACAGAAAGAGAAAGUGCUCAUUCUCUGGCACUAAAUGGUGUUCUGCUGUUCCACACUUUCACAAUUUCAUCUCAAAACACACAAGCAUAAUUAAUAAUAAAAAAAGAGAACAAACUGUAUUUCUUUCAAAUACACAGCCUCGAGGCUUACUGUAAAUAUUACAUCACUAAAGUUAAAUGAAGUCUUCUGGGACGUGUCCUGCAACUAUGAUUAGUGAAAACUAAAAGGAAGUGACUGAAAGUAGGAUGUUGGGGCACCGUGGCUCAGUGGCUGGCAUGUUUGCCAAACACCUCUAAAAAAACUCUGUUGGGGAGGUAAUUAAGUAAGAAAAGCACAAACAACAGCAGAUUAUUAUAAUUUUUUUUUUUAAAUAACAUGCUAAUAAUUACACUAAUCAUCUCAUUCAUCAUCAUAGUAUAAAUCAAGGAAGAACGGAGCUCUGAGGGAAGUGGAAAAAAUCCACACGCUCUUCUCAACUGAAGUAUUCGCUUUCCAUUUUUCAGUCAUAAGAUUUCCACAGCUGUUCAAAUUUCCCCUCAAAUAAUAACGUUUAACACAGCGUACUGUGUGUCAUGGGUUAAAUCACUUGACCUGUAAUAGCAUUCUGUUCAACAUCACAAUAAAAAACGUAAAAACGUACCGAAUCACAACAUGUCGCAUUAUUAUUUCCAUACUGCAGUUUGUCAAGAAAAGAAAGAAAGGAUAAAAUAUGAAGUCUCCCAUCGUCUGAAGUUCAAUAAAUUACAAACCACUUGCUUAUUUAUUUAUUUUUAAAUCUUUCCUUUAUUUAUUCCAAUGUACAAAAUCACUUUCAGAAUAAAUGUUUUCUGGUUUUAUCAUAAAGGCAAUAAAGAAUUGUUCAUUCCUAGCCUCCUUCAAAAACCUUGGAGGUCAUUUCUUCAUUUACUCAGAAAAAAAACAAAACAAAAAUCCAGCUCUACAAGUUCCGGUAAUAUCAUGACUUAAGUAUUUGGAAUAUAAUAAAACAUCUUGUAAAAAGUGCAGUACAAUCUGUACAAUGCUUAUGGAAAACGUAGACACCCUUUUAUGAGGUUCGGUUCAGAUUUUCCAAUCUGGCACUCAGUCAAACGGUUUAAGUGGCAGAAUUUUAACACUGUUUUCUAAAGCAAACCUCAGAUACAUCCACGUUUCUCUUCCUUCUGGUUCCUUCCUAACGUGUGUAAGGCACAGACGUGCGCACUGGUGAUACUGUACCACGUCGUCGGAGUGUAUCAGGUGUUUCAUACCUGUCCUGGUACAUCAUCAAUUACUUACAUCAUUAUUAUUAUUAUUACUUUUUUACAUUAAAGGUCAAGUUUGUCGUGUUGAAAAGUGCCUCUAUAUCUGUAAUAAUCACACAAAUGAAAAC